rnacentral:rRNA from 1 species
UACGUAGGCGGAAAAUUAAGUCAGUGAUGAAAUCCUGCAGCUUAACUGUAGAACUGUCAUUGAUACUGGUUUUCUUGAAUACAGUUGAGGUAGGCGGAAUGUGUAAUGUAGCGGUGAAAUGCUUAGAUAUUACACAGAACACCGAUUGCGAAGGCAGCUUACUAAACUGUUAUUGACGCUGAGGUACGAAAGCGUGGGGAGCGAACAGGAUUAGAUACCCUGGUAGUCC